AUUGAACGCUGGCGGCAUGCUUUACACAUGCAAGUCGAACGGCAGCGCGGGCUUCGGCCUGGCGGCGAGUGGCGAACGGGUGAGUAAUACAUCGGAACGUGCCCAGUAGUGGGGGAUAGCUCGGCGAAAGCCGGAGUAAUACCGCAUACGAUCUGAGGGUGAAAGCGGGGGAUCUUCGGACCUCGCGCUAUUGGAGCGGCCGAUGGCAGAUUAGCUAGUUGGUGGGGUAAAGGCCUACCAAGGCGACGAUCUGUAGCUGGGCUGAGAGGACGACCAGCCACACUGGGACUGAGACACGGCCCAGACUCCUACGGGAGGCAGCAGUGGGGAAUUUUGGACAAUGGGCGAAAGCCUGAUCCAGCAAUGCCGCGUGUGUGAUGAAGGCCUUCGGGUUGUAAAGCACUUUUGGCGGGAACGAAAAGGACUGUGCCAAUACCACGGUUCGAUGACGGUACCCGCAGAAUAAGCACCGGCUAACUACGUG
rnacentral:rRNA from 1 species